UGGGGAAUAUUGGACAAUGGGCGAAAGCCUGAUCCAGCAAUGCCGCGUGAGUGAUGAAGGCCUUAGGGUUGUAAAGCUCUUUUACCAGGGAUGAUAAUGACAGUACCUGGAGAAUAAGCUCCGGCUAACUCCGUGCCAGCAGCCGCGGUAAUACGGAGGGAGCUAGCGUUGUUCGGAAUUACUGGGCGUAAAGCGUACGUAGGCGGCUAUUCAAGUCAGGGGUGAAAGCCUGGAGCUCAACUCCAGAACUGCCCUUGAAACUAGAUAGCUAGAAUCUUGGAGAGGUGAGUGGAAUUCCGAGUGUAGAGGUGAAAUUCGUAGAUAUUCGGAAGAACACCAGUGGCGAAGGCGACUCACUGGACAAGCAUUGACGCUGAGGUACGAAAGCGUGGGGAGCAAA
rnacentral:rRNA from 1 species